AUGGGGCUUGGGCUCAGCUGGGUUUUCCUUGUUGCUAUUUUAAGAGGUGUCCAGGGUGAGGUGCAGCUGGUGGAGUCCGGGGGAGGCGUGGUGAAGCCUGCGGGGUCUCUGGGACUCUCCUGUGCAGCCUCUGGAUUCACCUUCAGUAGCUAUAACAUGGACUGGGUCCGCCAGGCUCCAGGGAAGGGGCUGGAGUGGGUGGCAGCAAUAAGGUAUGAUGGAAGUGGCACAUACUAUCCAGACGCCGUGAAGGGCCGACUCACCAUCUCCAGAGACAACGCCAAGAACAUGGUGUAUCUGCAAAUGAACAGCCUGAAAUCUGAGGACUCGGCCGUGUAUUACUGUGCAGCAGGCACAGUGUGGGGAGAUCAGCUCAGCCCCACACAGCUCAGGGUCCCAACUAUCCAGCAGCAGGACACAUGGGUUCAGGACAGCGGGCACCUGAGGGGUGUGAACAGAAAGCUAGAGAAGACCCAGGUAGUGACACUCAUUGACCUGUCAUCAUGGUCACAGCACCAAGACUAG